AAAAAAGUAACCCCUAGAUUUUCGUGUUCAAUUUUGAUUAUCCGUCUUAUAUGAGAUUUUUUAUAAUUCAUAUUUUUAUUGUUGUUAGAUGAUAAAACAUAAUUAAUAUUUUAUGCGUGACUUGUAUUUUUAAUUUUUUUUAUAAUUUUUUUAAAUAAGACGAAUGGUCAAAUGUUGGGCAUGGAAAUCAGGGUU
rnacentral:pre_miRNA from 1 species